rnacentral:rRNA from 2 species
CUCCUGGAAAAGGGUGGUAAUGCCGGAUGCUCCAGUUGAUCGCAUGGUCUUCUGGGAAAGCUUUCGCGGUAUGGGAUGGGGUCGCGUCCUAUCAGCUUGACGGCGGGGUAACGGCCCACCGUGGCUUCGACGGGUAGCCGGCCUGAGAGGGCGACCGGCCACAUUGGGACUGAGAUACGGCCCAGACUCCUACGGGAGGCAGCAGUGGGGAAUAUUGCACAAUGGGCGCAAGCCUGAUGCAGCGACGCCGCGUGAGGGAUGGAGGCCUUCGGGUUGUAAACCUCUUUUAUCGGGGAGCAAGCGAGAGUGAGUUUACCCGUUGAAUAAGCACCGGCUAACUACGUGCCAGCAGCCGCGGUAAUACGUAGGGUGCAAGCGUUAUCCGGAAUUAUUGGGCGUAAAGGGCUCGUAGGCGGUUCGUCGCGUCCGGUGUGAAAGUCCAUCGCUUAACGGUGGAUCCGCGCCGGGUACGGGCGGGCUUGAGUGCGGUAGGGGAGACUGGAAUUCCCGGUGUAACGGUGGAAUGUGUAGAUAUC